ACCCCGGCGAGGGGAGUGAAAAAGAACCUGAAACCGUGUACGUACAAGCAGUGGGAGCACCUUCGGGUGUGACUGCGUACCUUUUGUAUAAUGGGUCAGCGACUUAUAUUCUGUAGCAAGGUUAACCGUAUAGGGGAGCCGCAGGGAAACCGAGUCUUAACUGGGCGUUAAGUUGCAGGGUAUAGACCCGAAACCCGGUGAUCUAGCCAUGGGCAGGUUGAAGGUUGGGUAACACUAACUGGAGGACCGAACCGACUAAUGUUGAAAAAUUAGCGGAUGACUUGUGGCUGGGGGUGAAAGGCCAAUCAAACCGGGAGAUAGCUGGUUCUCCCCGAAAGCUAUUUAGGUAGCGCCUCGUGAACUCAUCUUCGGGGGUAGAGCACUGUUUCGGCUAGGGGUCAUCCCGACUUACCAACCGAUGCAAACUACGAAUACCGAAGAAUGUUAUCACGGGAGACACACGGCGGGUGCUAACGUCCGUCGUGAAGAGGGAAACAACCCAGACCGCCAGCUAAGGUC
rnacentral:rRNA from 1 species